rnacentral:rRNA from 1 species
GACGAACGCUGGCGGCGUGCCUAAUACAUGCAAGUUGAGCGCUGAAGGUUGGUACUUGUACCAACUGGAUGAGCAGCGAACGGGUGAGUAACGCGUGGGGAAUCUGCCUUUGAGCGGGGGACAACAUUUGGAAACGAAUGCUAAUACCGCAUAAAAACUUUAAACACAAGUUUUAAGUUUGAAAGAUGCAAUUGCAUCACUCAAAGAUGAUCCCGCGUUGUAUUAGCUAGUUGGUGAGGUAAAGGCUCACCAAGGCGAUGAUACAUAGCCGACCUGAGAGGGUGAUCGGCCACAUUGGGACUGAGACACGGCCCAAACUCCUACGGGAGGCAGCAGUAGGGAAUCUUCGGCAAUGGACGAAAGUCUGACCGAGCAACGCCGCGUGAGUGAAGAAGGUUUUCAGAUCGUAAAACUCUGUUGGUAGAGAAGAACGUUGGUGAGAGUGGAAAGCUCAUCAAGUGACGGUAACUACCCAGAAAGGGACGGCUAACUACGUG